AGAAUGAAACUCAAAGGAAUUGACGGGGACCGCACAAGCGGUGGAGCAUGUGGUUUAAUUCGAAGCAACGCGAAGAACCUUACCAAGUCUUGACAUCCCCUCCUGGACGGCGAAUAUGCGUCCUUCGUCGAGAGGACAGNGGUGUGCAGUUGGUUGUUGCAGUCUCGUGUCGUGAGUAUUGGUUAGGUUACGCCGACAACGNGCACCUAACCUUGUUGUUCAGUACGCCAGCGUAAGGGUAACGCGUGGGCCACUUCGUAGGACAAGUCUCGCCGGAAGGAACUUAACCGUGGGAAGGAAGGGUGGGAUGGACCUAACAAAUCAUCAGUCCGUACCCCUUUAGAGUUAGGUUUUCGGGACCUAACCAACCGUACGGUGUCCUAAACAAGUUGGGUCGAAACCAAACGAAGGUAGGUGGGAACGCGAAGGCCCGGUCCGGUAGGACGGUCUAGGACGAACUAAAACUCCAAAAAACGUAAAAAACGUCAUUCCUACGUACGGGUUACGGUAAUUUGGUAACGUUCGUCGACCUAAACCGUUCCGAACCUUAACAGUUAGGAAACGUCGUAAGGGUAAACUUCCGACGUUAAAGUUAACUCCGGAACGUAAAUCCGAAAAGGUAAUUCGGGUCCGGUCGGGGUUAAGUAAAACGUUUACCCCGGGGUUUUCCCCGGGGUUCUUUAGUAACCCAACGUAACGGUUCGGGUUAGGGGACGGAAACCCGGG
rnacentral:rRNA from 1 species